AUAAGAGCGUCACUUGAAAUUUGUCCAUAAUCUUUAUUUUAUUCAUUGAACAUACGAUGAUGUGGAUUAGUCUUUUGUCAUGUCAUGGUGGUAAAAAAAAAAGUUGUACAAGAUGGCGUAAAGAUCAUUCAGGUCAAGGUUGACUGAACUUUGUCUAGUGGUUUUAGAGGACAUUGGAUUUUUACAAGGUCAAAAACAAAAAACGACGACGGCGGACACCAAAUAAUUGCUAUAACCCAGAGCCAAAAUUAACCACGUAUGCUAAAAAUUGCGUUAAAACGAUUACAUACAUGUAUAUGAAAAAACUGGCUUUUCAGAAUAUCAAACGUUCCUGUCCAGUGGUAUACAUUUCAUUCAUAUUCAGGACGAGAAUAAACUAUCGAUUAAUACAAGUAUAUGUUCGGCCAGGAAAUUUGGACUACCACUGGAGAAAGAGGAUAUGUUAACGUACAGAGAGCGUGAUACUUACCCUAUACGAGGCAUCGGACUUUACGUCCCAAUCCGAACGGACGUGACUGUGUAUUUAUACAUCCCGCACAGCAAAACAGACGCCCCACAUUUCAAGGGUUUUUACUGCUGGUCGGGAGUUUGAAAAACAUAUUCUGAGAUCAUUGCUCUCCACACAAGAGUUAUUGAAUAAAUCGGACAGUGACAGUGACAAUUCUACAGAAAACAACCAGCAGACUUUGAGCACCCAGAAAUUAUGAUGCUACACAACAAGAAAAGAUUAAACAAGACUAAAGAAACAAUAUUGAUAUAGACAUUUUUUAUAUUAUAUUUGUGUUUUGUAACCAUACUCUAAGGAUUGACUAAGGUAUAUAGAUGUUGUCAAUUGGACUUCUCCCAUCCACUGUUAUAGAGAUGCGUUCGAUUUUCGAUGCUUUUUGAAUAGUUGUGUUGAAUCUGAUUCUCGUGUGGGCAGAUCCGAGCCCUCUGCACGUUAAAAAAUCAUUACAACAUCAAAUGAGUAUCAGUAUAAUUAGUCUUGUCCCUAUCCAACAUACUCCUUUUCAAAUCCCGUCCCUCAUCAAAAUCGACCCCUUUGCAGAACCAACCCAUUGAGCUAAUCAAUUUGUUCUUAAUUUAUUUUGAAUUUGCAUGAAAUUUUGCCACAGGAAAUUUAGCAAACAACAAUCUCCGUUGCCUAAUAUACCGUUUUUAUAGUUUAAUUCUUUGCCUAUACUAAAUCUUUUUAAUGGUCUUUAAAUGAACCGUUUGUUAGUCCAUCGAUGAACAUUAAAACUGUGGAAGGUUAAGAUCACAAAAAGGGUUCAACCCCGCCACAUAUCCAUGUUCCUUUCACAAUUCAGGAACCGAA